UACGUAGGGCGCAAGCGUUGUCCGGAAUUAUUGGGCGUAAAGAGCUCGUAGGCGGUUUGUCGCGUCUGCUGUGAAAACCUAAGGCUCAACCUUGGGCUUGCAGUGGGUACGGGCAGACUAGAGUGCGGUAGGGGUGACUGGAAUUCCUGGUGUAGCGGUGGAAUGCGCAGAUAUCAGGAGGAACACCCGAUGGCGAAAGGCAGGUCACUGGGGCCGGCAAACUGA
rnacentral:rRNA from 1 species